UAGCCUUGCAAAGUUUGCCAUUUUUCAGUCAUUUUGUAUUACGCACGGGAAAUUGACAGCCCAAUCGGGUGUUGGGGCAUCAAUUUCCCGUUUGUAAUACAAAAUGACUGAAAAUUGCAAAUUUCGCAAGGCUAUAUUAUCCGCAUUUUACAACAUUUCGCAACGAAACUUUGGAAUAUUGCUAAUUUUGUGGUGCUCUUUCAAACUGUAAUGAAAUAUUUGUCUAGAUCAAAAUUAAGUCUAUAAUGCAAAUGGUCCAUUGCCAUGGACAUUCCUAACUAGCAGUAGGAAGCAUAUAUAUGAUACAUAUCAAUGUUUAUCAAUGUAUAGGAUGCAGUAAUGAAUCCAGAAAAUUGAUUUCACCUCGAUAUUAAGAACAUGAAAUGUUGACAUAAUAUUUGGUCCAAAACAGUUUCCCAAGGG
rnacentral:lncRNA from 1 species